CUGUUGUGGGCAAAUAAAGUGAAUAUGGGUAUCAACGCCACCCGCGGUGAUAAUUUUGCCUUCGCCUGCAACCACUUCAGUACCGGGGCCAAUCACGAUAUCGACAUUCGGCUGCACGUCAGGGUUGCCGGCUUUACCAAUACCCGCAAUGCGGCCAUUUUUAAUGCCAAUAUCGGCUUUAACAAUGCCCCAAUGGUCUAGAAUAAUGGCGUUGGUGAUUAUCACAUCAACGCAUUGGUCGCUGGUUACUUGGCUUUGUCCCAUACCGUCAC
rnacentral:sRNA from 1 species